rnacentral:rRNA from 1 species
UACCAGCACCCCGAGUGGUCGGGACGAUUAUUGGGCCUAAAGCAUCCGUAGCCGGUUCUACAAGUCUUCCGUUAAAUCCACCUGCUUAACAGAUGGGCUGCGGAGGAUACUAUGGAGCUAGGAGGCGGGAGAGGCAAGCGGUACUUAGUGGGUAGGGGUAAAAUCCGUUGAUCCAUUGAAGACCACCAGUGGCGAAGGCAGCUUGCCAGAACGCACUCGACGGUGAGGGAUGAAAGCUGGGGGAGCAAACCGGG